rnacentral:rRNA from 1 species
UAGGGAAUCUUCCACAGUGGGGCGAAAGCCUGAUGGAGCAACGCCGCGUGUGUGAUGAAGGGUUUCGGCUCGUAAAACACUGUUGUAAGAGAAGAAUGACAUUGAGAGUAACUGUUCAAUGUGUGACGGUAUCUUACCAGAAAGGAACGGCUAAAUACGUGCCAG